rnacentral:rRNA from 1 species
AUUGAACGCUGGCGGCAUGCCUUACACAUGCAAGUCGAACGGCAGCACGGGUGCUUGCACCUGGUGGCGAGUGGCGAACGGGUGAGUAAUACAUCGGAACAUGUCCUGUAGUGGGGGAUAGCCCGGCGAAAGCCGGAUUAAUACCGCAUACGAUCUACGGAUGAAAGCGGGGGACCUUCGGGCCUCGCGCUAUAGGGUUGGCCGAUGCUGAUUAGCUAGUUGGUGGGGUAAAGGCCUACCAAGGCGACGAUCAGUAGCUGGUCUGAGAGGACGACCAGCCACACUGGGACUGAGACACGGCCCAGACUCCUACGGGAGGCAGCAGUGGGGAAUUUUGGACAAUGGGCGAAAGCCUGAUCCAGCAAUGCCGCGUGUGUGAAGAAGGCCUUCGGGUUGUAAAGCACUUUUGUCCGGAAAGAAAUCCUUGGCUCUAAUACAGUCGGGGGAUGACGGUACCGGAAGAAUAAGCACCGGCUAACUACGUG